AGACCAUGAUGUGGAUGCUUCUUCUGUAAUUCUUUAAACCUCUCCCAGACUUCAUAAAAAUAUUAACCAUCAAGCUGAACAAAACUGGUAAUAUCAUUUCUAAUUUU